rnacentral:rRNA from 1 species
CCCGCACAAGCGGCGGAGCAUGCGGAUUAAUUCGAUGCAACGCGAAGAACCUUACCAAGGCUUGACAUACACCGGUAACGCCCAGAGAUGGGUGCCCCUUUGUGGUCGGUGUACAGGUGGUGCAUGGUUGUCGUCAGCUCGUGUCGUGAGAUGUUGGGUUAAGUCCCGCAACGAGCGCAACCCUCGUCCUAUGUUGCCAGCGGGUCAUGCCGGGGACUCAUGGGAGACUGCCGGGGUCAACUCGGAGGAAGGUGGGAUGACGUCAAAUCAUCAUGCCCCUUAUGUCUUGGGCUUCACGCAUGCUACAAUGGCCAGUACAAAGGGCUGCGAUACCGCGAGGUGGAGCGAAUCCCAGAAAGCCGGUCUCAGUUCGGAUUGGGGUCUGCAACUCGACCCCAUGAAGUCGGAGUCGCUAGUAAUCGCAGAUCAGCAACGCUGCGGUGAAUACGUUCCCGGGCCUU